CCAUCGGUGGUUCAGUGGUAGAAUGCUCGCCUGCCACGCGGGCGGCCCGGGUUCGAUUCCGAGCCGAUGCA